rnacentral:rRNA from 1 species
CCUACGGGUGGCUGCAGUGGGGAAUUUUGGACAAUGGGCGCAAGCCUGAUCCAGCCAUUCCGCGUGAGUGAAGAAGGCCUUCGGGUUGUAAAGCUCUUUCGCAAUGGAAGAAAACUUAUCCUCUAACAUAGGAUGAGGUUGACGGUACCUUGAUAAGAAGCACCGGCUAACUACGUGCCAGCAGCCGCGGUAAUACGUAGGGUGCGAGCUGUAAUCGGAAUGACUGGGCGUAGAGUUGUAAGUCGGAUUUGAAAUACCCGAGCUAAACUUGGGAACUGCGUUUGAAACUACAAGACUAGAAUAGGUCAGAGGGGGGUAGAAUUCCACGUGUAGCAGUGAAAUGCGUAGAGAUGUGGAGGAAUAUCAAUGGCGAAGGCAGCCCCCUGGGAUCAUAUUGACGCUCAUGCACGAAAGCGUGGGGAGCAAACAGGAUUAGAUACCCUAGUAGUC